rnacentral:rRNA from 1 species
CACGUAGGGUGCGAGCGUUGUCCGGAAUUAUUGGGCGUAAAGAGCUCGUAGGCGGUGUGUCGCGUCGGCCGUGAAAACCUGCAGCUUAACUGUGGGCUUGCGGUCGAUACGGGCAUCACUGGAGUUCGGCAGGGGAGACUGGAAUUCCUGGUGUAGCGGUGAAAUGCGCAGAUAUCAGGAGGAACACCGAUGGCGAAGGCAGGUCUCUGGGCAUUAACUGACGCUGAGGAGCGAAAGUGUGGGGAGCGAACAGG